GAUGAAGAACGCAGCGAAAUGCGAUAAGUAAUGUGAAUUGCAGAAUUCAGUGAAUCAUCGAAUUUUUGAACGCACCUUGCGCUCCUUGGUAUUCCGAGGAGCAUGCCUGUUUGAGUGUCAUGAAAUUCUCAACCUGUUCAGCUUUCUUUGUUGAUCAGGCUUGGAUGUGGGAGUAUGCGGGCUUCUCAGAAGUCGGCUCUCCUGAAAUGCAUUAGCGGGACCUUUGUUGCCUGGCUUUGGUGUGAUAAUUAUCUACGCCAUUGUAGUCAAGCAGCUUAUAAUGAGGUUUCAGCUUCUAACCGUCUCCCCUGAGACAACUUUUUGACAAUUUGACCUCAAAUCAGGUAGGACUACCCGCUGAACUUAAGCAUAUCAAUAAGCGGAGGA
rnacentral:misc_RNA from 1 species